GGGGCUUUAGCUCAGCUGGUAGAGCGCUACGUUUACACCGUAGAUGUCAUCGGUUCGAUCCCGGUAGGCCCCA
rnacentral:tRNA from 1 species